UACGUAGGGGGCUAGCGUUGUCCGGAAUCAUUGGGCGUAAAGAGCGUGUAGGCGGUCCGGUAAGUCCGCUGUGAAAGUCGGGGGCUCAACCCUCGAAUGCCGGUGGAUACUGUCGGGCUAGAGUGCGGAAGAGGCGAGUGGAAUUCCUGGUGUAGCGGUGAAAUGCGCAGAUAUCAGGAGGAACACCGGUGGCGAAGGCGGUUCUCUGGGCCUUACCUGACGCUGAGGAGCGAAAGCGUGGGGAGCAAACAGG
rnacentral:rRNA from 1 species